rnacentral:tRNA from 1 species
GCUGGAAUGCAGCUCAGUGGUAGAGUGCUUGCCUAGCAUGCACAAGGCCCUGAGUUCAAGUCUCAGUACCACCA